GGAGAGCAGCCACGUCUCCUCCAUCGAGAGGCGGAGAGGGCGAAUUAGUGGCAAGCAAAGUUCAGCCACGUCUCCCUCCGGAAGGUGGAGUAGAGCGUUUGUGCACAAUCUCGACAUUGAAAGAGGCGUUUUUGCUCACAAUUUUGAAAUCCGAUGAAUGUAUUGAAGCUGGAAAUUGCAUGCAGCCAGAUCGCAUUCCCUCCCGAGGUAAGAGUUUUAAUCCAUGAGUUGCAGCUUCGUAUCCCCUGGUUUGUGUUCAUGUUUUUGAGAUUUGAUUGUCAUCGGGCUCCGAAUUCAUGAGUCAGGAACAGCCGAACAGAUGUUUGCUGAGCAUGUCUUGAUUUCAUAGCCUUUUGUAUGUGUCUGGUUUAGUUUAUCAUCGCUGCACAUGUCAGGUAUGUGAAUUUUUAGUUUAGAGAGAAUCGAACCCGAGAGUAUUUGAUAUCAGGAUCCAUGUAAACUCCUUGAUCUUUGUCUCGUAGAUGUAAAUCCACUAAGAUGUCUGAAAUAACAAGCUAGCUGCCAAUCUACUUUUCACUAAUGUGCUUGCUUUGCAUCAGUUGAUUACAUUAAAGGAACCUAACGCAGUCACGCAAAGUGAGGAUCAUAAUACUGAAGUUGAAGGAACAAGUUCUCUCUUCAUUUGGGAUAAGUUUGAUCACAAUGUCACAAAUUACCAUGUAGUAGCUAGAUUGGCUACAAAUCAAACCGGAUUACAGCGUUGCAAGCUAUUUGUUUGAUUUUCAAAGGUCUUUGUUGCUCAUGGUUUAUAUGGUUGAUGCAAUGGGCAAUGGUUUUAGCAGUGAAGGCAAAAUAGUUGGUUUAGAUGCAUCUCGUGAUCUUGUUGUUCUAAAGGGAAUUCAAGCGGUCCAUUGAUCAAUUCAUAUGGUCAUACUAUUAAAGUUAAUACAUCUACCUUCACUUGCAAAGGGUCAGGAACAUCAUCUGGUGUUAACUGUGCAAUACCAAUAGUCCAAUAGACUCUGUUGUGUGAACUGGACCAUAGCUUGUUGUAUAUGGAACCUGUUAUAGUAAGAGGUUCUGGUCAAUGUAAUCCAUUGUACUGUAUCUAAUGCGUCGGUCGUUCUAAAGUCAUGUGGGGAAACGAGUUGAAUAGGUUUCAUUGAACGCAAUUCAAAUUCUAAAUGAAUAUUGAUCGAUUGACUCAUUGAGAGAUCGAUUGACUCAUUGAGAAACCAUUCAAUUUCUGUC